AUUGAACGCUGGCGGCAGGCCUAACACAUGCCAGUCGAACGGUAACAGAAAGCAGCUUGCUGCUUUGCUGACGAGUGGCGGACGGGUGAGUAAUGUCUGGGAAACUGCCUGAUGGAGGGGGAUAACUACUGGAAACGGUAGCUAAUACCGCAUAACGUCGCAAGACCAAAGAGGGGGACCUUCGGGCCUCUUGCCAUCGGAUGUGCCCAGAUGGGAUUAGCUUGUUGGUGGGGUAACGGCUCACCAAGGCGACGAUCCCUAGCUGGUCUGAGAGGAUGACCAGCCACACUGGAACUGAGACACGGGCCAGACUCCUACGGGAGGCAGCAGUGGGGAAUAUUGCACAAUGGGCGCAAGCCUGAUGCAGCCAUGCCGCGUGUAUGAAGAAGGCCUUCGGGUUGUAAAGUACUUUCAGCGGGGAGGAAGGGAGUAAAGUUAAUACCUUUGCUCAUUGACGUUACCCGCAGAAGAAGCACCGGCUAACUCCGUG
rnacentral:rRNA from 1 species